GCCGAAGUGGCGGAAUGGCAGACGCGUCAGUCUCAAAAACUGAUGGGGGGAAACCUCCGUGUCGGUUCGAGUCCGACCUUCGGCACCA
rnacentral:tRNA from 1 species